AUACGUAGGGGGCGAGCGUUGUCCGGAAUGAUUGGGCGUAAAGGGCGCGUAGGCGGCCCGGUAAGUCUGGAGUGAAAGUCCUGUUUUUAAGAUGGGAAUUGCUUUGGAUACUGUCGGGCUUGAGUGCAGGAGAGGUAAGUGGAAUUCCCAGUGUAGCGGUGAAAUGCGUAGAGAUUGGGAGGAACACCAGUGGCGAAGGCGACUUACUGGACUGUAACUGACGCUGAGGCGCGAAAGUGUGGGGAGCAAACAGGAUUAGAUACCCUGGUAGUCCACACUGUAGACGAUGAAUGCUAGGUGUAGGGGGUAUCGACCCCUUCUGUGCCGCAGUCAACACAAUAAGCAUUCCGCCUGGGGAGUACGGUCGCAAGGUUGAAACUCAAAGGAAUUGACGGGG
rnacentral:rRNA from 1 species